UUUUACAGAUAUCUCACGUACACGACGUCAUCGCGCUACAGUCUGCAGCUCAAGCUUGAAUGUGCGUGAAUCGAAUUUGAGUUGCUAUAGCAACAGAUAUAAAAGCUGAAACCCGUCGAUUUCUGAUUGUUGGGUUGUUUGAAGGCGAGACUUUGGAGACAAACUUUUAUCUGCGACAGACUUUGUGCUGAGAAAGUGAUUUUUGAAGGAGUUCGGAGCAUUUCUGUGGAGUUCGGAGGAUAUUUUCUUUUGACUUGACUUUCUGAAGGAGCUUAACGUUACAUUAUUUCUCAGGAGAGUUUUAUUUAAUUUAUUUGUUUUUAUUUGAUUGGAAGUGUUUCUGUUACUUGUCUUUUUUCUUUGCUUUCUUUCUUUUCUUUUGUUUUCAUCUUUUCUUUUCUUUUUUCCUCUCAUUGUGUAGGAGAUUCUUCAGGAUAUUUUCGAUGGCUCACAUGGGAGAAAGACGAGCCUUGGGCCGCUCCAGAUCCGCUGCUGCUUUCACCCAGAUGGCUGCUGGUCAGGAGGUUGGAGGACAGUGUGGUGACCACAUCCAGAAAACACUGUCAAACCCAACCCAGCCAUGGAGUCCAGAGCUGCCCGGCUAUAUCGCUCCUCUGCCUUCUGAGUCGACUCAAAGGAAGAGGAAGCGGCAGAGCUUGGAGGAUGAAGAUCCCUCCACCUCAUACGAGAGACCCGCCAAACGCUCUCGUGAAGAUUCAUAUAUAAAGGGCCCAAUGCUGGGUCAAGGUGGAUUCGGCUCUGUGUUUGCUGGGACCCGCAGCUCUGAUGGAUUGCCAGUCGCCAUCAAGUACGUCACUAAAGACGAGGAGCACGAGGACAUUGAAGUUGAAGGUCAGGGUCUGCUGCCGCUGGAGGUCGCGUUGAUGACCCGGGUCAAUUCGGCUCCUGCGUGUCCCAAUGUCCUGAAGCUGCUGGAGUGGUUUGAACAUCCCGGCCGCUACGUCAUGAUCCUGGAACGUCCAGAUCCUUGCCAGGAUCUCCACAGUUUCUGUGAGGAGAACGGCUGUCUGGAUGAGAGUCAGGCCAAGAAGGUGCUUAUGCAGCUCAUCAACGCUCUCAAACACUGCGAGAGCUGCGGCGUCUUCCACCGGGAUGUCAAGCCACAGAACCUGCUCAUUUGCACCGAUACCAACGAGAUCAAGCUGCUGGACUUUGGCUGUGGACACCUCCUGAAGGACUCGGAGUAUAAGGAGUUUGCAGGCACUCUUUCAUUCGCCCCUCCAGAGUGGUUUCGUUCCCACAGCUAUCGUGCAGGACCAGCUACUGCUUGGUCACUGGGUGUGACGCUGUACCAGCUCCUGUGUGGUUCUCUACCUUUCAGAAGCGCACGGAGGGUUCGCAGACUGCGCUUCCCUAGACACCUGUCUGCAGAUUGCCGUCAGUUGAUCAGAUGGUGUCUUAAAGCAGCAGCGGACGACCGUCCCAGCUUACAGGACAUUGAGCAGCAUCCCUGGUUACAGUCAACAGUGCUUUUCUUCAGUGCAUUGAAGAAAUACUGCAUGAAGACGAUGAAUGUUCUGCUAAAAAAUUCAAAAUAAGCUUCAGUCCUGAUUGUAGUUAAAAAUAUCAAUCAGUACCAUCAGAAGGUCCAUAAAGAAACUUAUGGCAAAGAUGGACUUAUGGCAAAGCCCGGACCAACCCUAUGAUCCAGAACAACAACAGUACAGCAGUGGAUGGAUGUUGAGGAAACCUUUGACAGUGUAAUCUUUGCUGACAAAAUAACCAUAGCUUUGGAUGUGCUUUAAAAAAGGGUCUGCACAUUGCAAAACCUAAAGCCAAACAUCCCAUAAAACUUGGGGGUUCAUAUCUCGUCAGGGACCAGGACCAAUAGUUGUCAUCGAAGAUUUACAGGAAUUAUGGACCGACACUAUUACCAAGGAGGCAUCAUAAAAUCAGCAUUGGCGUCAUACAUUCAGCACCACUUUAAAGAACCGCAUCGCUUCUUCCAAGAAAACGAUCCAAAACAUAAAGUGGUUAGACAGUGUGUUGCAGAGGAGGGGAUCAACUGGGAGAAAACACCAGCCGAAUCACCACAUCUCAAACCCAUCGAGCUGGUUUGGCAAGCAAUGAAGGAGUUCAUCAGACGUGAGGCUAAGCCACGGAACAAAGCUGAGCUUCUUCAGACCGUUGUGACUUUCUGGACAGAUCGCCUGACAAAAACCACCUGCAAUAAAUGCAUUGAUCACCUUCAGAAGGUUUUUGCCGGCGGUGGUACAGCGCAAUAAGGGGUCUAUCAGAAUGUAGAAAUUUAUAUCUAUUGAUCUGUUUUUUAAAUUGCUGAUCAUAAUAGCCUGCUGUGUUUCAUCUCUUCAGUAGAUGAAUGAAAAAACAAACUUUUGGCUAAGGUCCAAUUGUCCAUGAGCUCCACUAUAGAGCACU